CGCCACACCCAGACGUGAUUCUCUACCCGCCUCCAGCCUGGACGUGUUUGAGGCCCGGACUCUAGGACUGCUCCAGCCCUUGGUCCGGGAUGCCCCGGCCUGGCCCUGAAGUCCCGCCCGCUGGUUUGGGGAGAACGUGGCGUCAGGUUGGCUCCGAGGCGAGAAGCGCGGAGCGUGGCCGUGGUCACAGUUGGCCAUGAACGCUUUCUUGGGUGGCAGUGAAGGGUGAAGGGAAGGGAGGUGGCGUAAUGCCGCCGGACGCCCGGGACUAGGAGGGACGGCAUUUGGCAAAUCCUACGCGGUGUUUGCUAAGUGGUGGCCGAGAGUCGGUUUCCUCGGCCUCGUUGGGUCGUUCGCAAGGGAGGCCAGUGCCCUGCAAAGUGAGGCCGCACUGGUUUUCUCAAGACUGAGGGGGCGUCCGAAAUGGAACAGAUAUUUGUUGAAUGGAUGACUGAACAAAGGGAAUGCCUUUAGGGAUGUUUUGGGGGAGCCCUCGGAUCCGCACGAGGGCCUGGAGCUGGGGUCGGCAGGCGAGCCUCGCAGCCCGCGGGUCCUGCGGAGCCCGGAGCGACUCCGGGCCCGGCGUCCUGGGCGCUCGAACUCCGCGGGCUCCGACUCUCGCGGUGCUGGGGACCUCGACGCUGCAACUGCGGCCGGGAGCCGCGUUAAGGGAGUCUGCAGUGGGUAGGCAGCACGUGCCCGGCGGGCUAAAGCAAAAGUAGCGUGGGGAUUUUAAGGGAAAAUUUACAAAGUUUGAUUUAAGAAACGUCAAAAACUUAGCAACAAAAUGAAUCUUAAAGCCAUCCACUUCUAAAUGUCUGUAUUUGUGUUUAUACCCCGCAGGUCUUCUCUCCCUCGUACUGUUUCUCGAAAAGGAGGGUAAACAGUUUUCCGCACCUUUACGUUGGGGAGUUGUAAAGUCAGUAAGAUAACAAGAAACAACUGCGAGAAAUCAGUGACUGUAAUUGCUUGUAAAUAUUUCCACCAAAAUAAUGAGUAGUGUUUGAUGGGGUCAGUUUAAUCAACAAGUUCAUUACCAAAUCAGUCGUUCUUUCAUUAUGUUGUAAGAAGUAUACAGUUAAAACUAGACCCAGAGCACGCUAACAUUAAUCUGGCUGUUAAGACUACUUUAUAAAAUGUUAUAUACAGUGUAUUUUCAAAUUCUUUAAGCGAUCAAAACCCACUUGCUAUAUAGAUUUUUUUUCAUCUGAAAUUGCGAAAAUUAUUUUCUCUCCUUUUCAGUUUUUCUACCAAGUAACUAAAACUUCGCAUUGGGCAUUUUUUCUAUUUUUGAGAUAUGUUUUCAAAGAAAAGUUAGAGUAGAAUGAAAAUGAGAAUCUUUGGAUACAAAUGAGAAAAAUCUAAUGUUAUAUGAAAAUUCUAUUCUUAAUCAAUUUGAAAUGUUCAUAUGUUACAGAAAACAGCAAACCAAUGCUUAAUGAGAAAUGAAACACUUAUGAAUCUUAAAGAACAAGGAGAGAAAAAUUUGUCCGUGAACUUUGUGCUUUUUUAGACAGUAGUCAAUCUAUGUUUCAAGAGAACAGGCAAGCUACAUGAAUUAUCAUUGAAAGAAUACAGCAACAUCUACUCACUACGACUUAAUUGAGGAAUAAUAUUGGGAGUUAGACUUUUAUUUCCUGGUGAUGUAGUGAUUUCAACUCAGAGGCUAUAGAAUGAUUCAGUUCCUGGUCAGAGGAAUGCUCAAGUUUAAAGAGUACCAUGAUAGAAUGAAAAGAACACUGAAUUGAGAGCCAGGACUGUAACAACACAAACUAGAGAAGAUGACAUAAGGUACAAAAAAGCAAAUUGGCGCUGAACUAAUAUCUGUUGCCAGUCCUCUUCUAUUUUGUAUGCGGGAUGCCACCACAGCUUGACUUGAUGAGCAGUGUGUAGGUCUGCACCCAGGAUCCAAACCUGUGAACCCCGGGCCACUGAAGCAGAGUGUGCAAACUUAACCACUAUGCCACCAGGCCAGUCCUGAAUCUAAUAAUUCUUGAUGCUAUUAUUGAUCCCCGUGGCACCACUGGAUAAUUUUUUUUUUCUGCUGAGGAAGAUUAGCCCUGAGUUAACAUCUGUUGUCCAUCUUCCUGUUUUUUUUCGCUUGAGGAAGAUUAGCCCUGAGCUAAUGUGUGCCAGUCUGCCUCGACUUUGUAUGUGGGUUGUUGCCACAGCAUGCCUGACAAGUGGUGUAGGUCUCCGUGUAGGAUCUGAACCUGUGAACCUGGGCUGCUGAAGCAGAGAAUGCUGAACUUAACCACUAUGCCACGGGGCUGGCCCCUGGAUAACUUUCUGUUUAGAGACCUUGGCCACAAAUACUACAUAAACAUAGUGAUAUAUAAUUUAUCUAUUGUAGUACUGAGUUUUUUUCUAUCAACUUAAAGGCACAAAUUAAAGAACCAUUUUCACAAGUUAA